GACGAACGCUGGCGGCGUGCUUAACACAUGCAAGUCGAACGGAAAGGCCCCCUUUUGGGGUACUCGAGUGGCGAACGGGUGAGUAACACGUGAGUAACCUACCCUUUACUUUGGGAUAACUUCAGGAAACUGGGGCUAAUACCGGAUAGGAGCUCCUGCUGCAUGGUGGGGGUUGGAAAGUUUCGGCGGUUGGGGAUGGACUCGCGGCUUAUCAGCUUGUUGGUGGGGUAGUGGCUCACCAAGGCUUUGACGGGUAGCCGGCCUGAGAGGGUGACCGGCCACAUUGGGACUGAGAUACGGCCCAGACUCCUACGGGAGGCAGCAGUGGGGAAUAUUGCACAAUGGGCGGAAGCCUGAGGCAGCAACGCCGCGUGCGGGAUGACGGCCUUCGGGUUGUAAACCGCUUUCGCCUGUGACGAAGCGUGAGUGACGGUAAUGGGUAAAGAAGCACCGGCUAACUACGUG
rnacentral:rRNA from 1 species